rnacentral:rRNA from 1 species
AUUGAACGCUGGCGGCAGGCCUAACACAUGCAAGUCGAACGGUAACAGGAAGCAGCUUGCUGCUUUGCUGACGAGAGGCGGACGGGUGAGUAAUGUCUGGGAAACUGCCCGAUGGAGGGGGAUAACUACUGGAAACGGUAGCUAAUACCGCAUAACGUCGCAAGACCAAAGAGGGGGACCUUAGGGCCUCUCGCCAUCGGCUGUGCCCAGAUGGGAUUAGCUAGUAGGUGGGGUAACGGCUCACCUAGGCGACGAUCCCUAGCUGGUCUGAGAGGAUGAACAGCCACACUGGAACUGAGACACGGUCCAGACUCCUACGGGAGGCAGCAGUGGGGAAUAUUGCACAAUGGGCGCAAGCCUGAUGCAGCCAUGCCGCGUGUAUGAAGAAGGCCUUCGGAUUGUAAAGUACUUUCAGCGGGGAGGAAGGGAGUAAAGUUAAUACCUUGGCUCAUUGACGUUACCCGCAGAAGAAGCACCGGCUAACUCCGUG